UAGUUCGUGGUCCUUUGGGGAAA
rnacentral:piRNA from 1 species